ensembl:lncRNA
AUGGUCCGCGAACCCAUUGUUAGGCACCACUGUGCUAGAACAGCUGUUUCCAUCUUCUCACGUGACACAAAUGAAUCCGUGAGGCUCAAACUAUUUGUGUCCCCCCCCCCCUCCUCCCCCCCCUCCCACACGCACACCUUGAAGGUGACCUUCCAUCGCAGGCAGAACGGGAGGAGCGCGUGUGACGCUCAGUCGUCACACGCGUGUGACAACGGGCUGUGCACGCGCUCCAACCAGUCGGCCGUGCAGCAGACGGACCGGGACGCCACCGGACGGGGGGGGCUGGUGUCAGUCCGAGAGACGCACGACGGCCACCGUCUCCACCAACCGCACCUCCUUCUCCCUGAGGUGACCAUCGCUUUCGUCUCCUCCUCCUCCUCCCUCUCCUCUUUUUCUUCUCUUUCUUCUCUUCCUCCUUCACCUCCUUCUUCUCCUUCUCCUCCUUCUUCUCUUCCUCCUUCACCUCCUUCUUCUCAUUCACCACCUUCUUCUCUUUCUUCUCCUUCUUCUCUUCUUCCUCCUUCUCCCCCACCUCCUUCUUCUCUUUCGUCUCUUCCUCCUUCACCUCCUUCUUCUCCUUCCCCUCCUUCUUCUCCUUCUCCUCCUUCUUCUCCUUCUUCUCCUCCUCCUUCUCCUUCACCUCCUUCUUCUUGUUCUUCUCCUUCUCCUCCUUCUUCUCCUCCUCCUCCUUCUCCUCCACCUCCUUCACCUCCUUCUUCUCUUUCCUCUCUUUCUUCUUCUUAUCUUUCCUCUCUUUCUUCUCCUUCUUCUCUUUCCUCUCUCUCUUCUCUUUCCUCUCUUCUCAACCUUCUCCUCCUUCACCUCCUUCUUCNNNNNNNNNNUCUUUCCUCUCUUUCUUCUCCUUCUUCUCUUUCCUCUCUCUCUUCUCUUUCCUCUCGUUCUUCUCAACCUUCUCCUCCUUCUUCUCUUUCCUCUCUUUCUUCUCCUUCUUCUCUUUCCUCUCUCUCUUCUCUUUCUUCUUCUCUUUCCUCUCGUUCUUCUCAUCCUUCUCCUCCUUCACCUCCUUCCUCUCUUUCUUCUCCUUCUCCUCCUCCUUCUUCUCCUUUGGCUCCUCCUUCUUCUGGUUCUCAAUAUGUUAUUUUUUCUGUUUCCAGGAGAUUACGUCAACAAAAACAACGACAAUUUCAGGCGUGUAAACAAACACAUCUUCCAUACAUACACAAAGACAGAAAGAUAAAAUUAAGUUCAUAA